rnacentral:rRNA from 1 species
GAUGAACGCUAGCGGCAGGCUUAAUACAUGCAAGUCGAGGGGCAGCAGGACGGUAGCAAUACCGUUGCUGGCGACCGGCAAACGGGUGCGGAACACGUACGCAACUUACCCUGAACUGGGGCAUAGCCCGGGGAAACCCGGAUUAAUACCCCGUAACACUUUUGGGUGGCAUCACUUGGAAGUUAAAGCUUUAUUGUGGU